CCUACGGGAGGCAGCAGUGGGGAAUUUUGGACAAUGGGCGCAAGCCUGAUCCAGCCAUGCCGCGUGUGGGAAGAAGGCCUUCGGGUUGUAAACCACUUUUGUCAGGGAAGAAACGGUCUGAACUAAUACUUUGGACUAAUGACGGUACCUGAAGAAUAAGCACCGGCUAACUACGUGCCAGCAGCCGCGGUAAUACGUAGGGUGCAAGCGUUAAUCGGAAUUACUGGGCGUAAAGCGUGCGCAGGCGGCUUUGCAAGACAGAUGUGAAAUCCCCGGGCUCAACCUGGGAACUGCAUUUGUGACUGCAUGGCUAGAGUACGGUAGAGGGGGAUGGAAUUCCGCGUGUAGCAGUGAAAUGCGUAGAUAUGCGGAGGAACACCGAUGGCGAAGGCAAUCCCCUGGACCUGUACUGACGCUCAUGCACGAAAGCGUGGGGAGCAAACAGGAUUAGAUACCCUGGUAGUCCACGCCCUAAACGAUGUCAACUGGUUGUUGGGAGGGUUUCUUCUCAGUAACGAAGCUAACGCGUGAAGUUGACCGCCUGGGGGAGGACGGUCCGGCGAGUUAGUUAACGUACGAAAGGAAAGUUAGACGGCGNGNGACGNGCCGACGGACGACGACGAGGGGAGGAGGG
rnacentral:rRNA from 1 species